ensembl:snRNA U6 U6 spliceosomal RNA
GUGCUCACUUCGGCAGCACAUACACUAAAAUUGGAAUGAUACAGAGAAGAUUAGCAUGGCCCCUGUGCAAGGAUGAAUGGGACCCUGGACAAAUAGCAGGUCAUU